UAUGUAAUGUGUGUGUGUGUGUGUGUGUGUGUGUGUGUGUGUGUGUGUGUGUACACACACACACACACACACACACACACACACACACACACACACACACACAC